GACGAACGCUGGCGGCGUGCCUAAUACAUGCAAGUAGAACGCUGAAGCGAGGAGCUUGCUCUUCUUGGAUGAGUUGCGAACGGGUGAGUAACGCGUAGGUAACCUGCCUUGUAGCGGGGGAUAACUAUUGGAAACGAUAGCUAAUACCGCAUAACAAUGGAUGACACAUGUCAUUUAUUUGAAAGGGGCAAUUGCUCCACUACAAGAUGGACCUGCGUUGUAUUAGCUAGUAGGUGAGGUAAUGGCUCACCUAGGCGACGAUACAUAGCCGACCUGAGAGGGUGAUCGGCCACACUGGGACUGAGACACGGCCCAGACUCCUACGGGAGGCAGCAGUAGGGAAUCUUCGGCAAUGGGGGCAACCCUGACCGAGCAACGCCGCGUGAGUGAAGAAGGUUUUCGGAUCGUAAAGCUCUGUUGUAAGUCAAGAACGGGUGUGAGAGUGGAAAGUUCACACUGUGACGGUAGCUUACCAGAAAGGGACGGCGAACUACGU
rnacentral:rRNA from 1 species